CGGAUUGCAGGCUGCAACUCGCCUGUAUGAAGUCGGAAUUGCUAGUAAUCGUGGAUCAGCAUGCCACGGUGAAUACGUUCCCGGGCCUUGUACACACCGCCCGUCACACCAUGAGAGCCGGGAACACCCGAAGUCCGUAGUCUAACCUAUAUGGAGGACGCGGCCGAAGGUGGGUUUGGUAAUUGGGGUGAAGUCGUAACAAGGUACC
rnacentral:rRNA from 1 species